rnacentral:rRNA from 1 species
AUAUAGAUGUUUAUUUAAAAUAAGUGAUUUUGUUUAUUUAUAAAAAAAAUAUUUUUUAGUUUAUUUAUUAUUUAUGAUAAAAUUAUUAAGAGUUAUAGUUUAAUCAGUAAAGUAUUUGAUAAUUGAAAUAAUUUUUAAAUAUUUAUAUAUUUAAAAGAAAAAUUAAAUUUUUGUACCUUGGGUAUCAGGGUUUAUUAACUAAUAAUUAUAUAAUUUAAUUUUCUCGAAUUUAAAAGAGCUAAAAAAUUAUAAAUUUUAUUGUAGCAUAAAUAUUUAAAAUAAUUUUUUAGUUGUGAAAUGCUAUUCGUUUUUAAAUUUAUCUAGUUUUUUAAGAAAUAAAUUUAAUUUAGUUAAUUAUUUUAAUUAUAAAUUAAUAUUUAUUAAAUUUAAUAUAAUUAAUUAAUAUUUUAAGGGAUAAGCUUUAAAAUAAAAUUUUAAAAAUUAUUGAAUUAUAUAAAAAUUAGUAGGAUUAGGAGUUUUUAUUCUUUAAAAGUGUGUUAUAACAAAUUUUUAUAUAUAUUAAAUUUUUAUUUAGUUUUAAAUUUUUUAUUAAAAUUAUUUAUUUAACAAGAAAGUAUAUGUAAUUAUGAUAAAAUUAGUAUAAAAGAUGUAAGUUUAAUUUAAAGAUUAAGGUUAAAUUAAGGAACUCGGCAAAAUAUUUUUCCGCCUGUUUAUUAAAAACAUGUCUUUUUGAUUUUUAUAAAAAGUCUGGCCUGCCCUAUGAGUUAUUAAAUGGCUGCGGUACUCUGACCGUGCAAAGGUAGCAUAGUAAUUAGUUUUUUAAUUGGGAACUGGUAUGAAUGGUUUGACGAGAAAAAUACUGUCUCAAUUUAAUUUAAAUUAGAAUUUUAUUUUUAAGUAAGAAAGCUUAAAUUAUCUUAAAAGACGAGAAGACCCUAUAGAAUUUUAUAUUUUUAUAUAUUUUUGAAAGUUAAAGAAUUUAAGAUUCAAUUAUUUAUAAGGAAUAUUUGGUUGGGGCAAUUAAAAAAUUUAAUAAACUUUUUUUAUAAUUAAAACAUUGAUAUAUGAUUAAGUGAUCCAUAAUUUAUGAUUAUAAGAUUAAAUUACCUUAGGGAUAACAGCGUAAUUUUUUUUAGAGUUCUUAUCGAAGAAAAAGUUUGCGACCUCGAUGUUGGAUUAAAAUUAACUUUUGGAGCAGGAGCUAAAGAUGUUGGGUCUGUUCGACCCUUAAAAUUUUACAUGAUCUGAGUUUAAACCGGCGUGAGCUAGGUUGGUUUCUAUCUUUAAGAAAUUUAAAUAUUUUUGUACGAAAGGACUUAAUAUUUAUAAUAAUUAUUUAAUUAUGAUUUUUAAUAAUAG